AUCACAAAUUUCAUCAAUGAAGGACGAUGAUAAUGUAUUUAGUGAGGUACUGUUCAGAUAUACUGUAGAGCACUAGGUAUGAAAGUCCAUUUCCAUUCACCUGAGCCUCGGAAGUGAUUACAAACCCCACCAUUAAUACCCACCAUUAGACAGUAUCAAAAAAGUAAAGUAUGGGUUCUACAACUAACUUGAAGCUAUAGUUACUUUUAAUUCCAAAAUAAAUGCUGCAAAAGGAGUUUGUAUGUGCAGUACAUGGAACAAGUAAGUCAAAAAUUAUAGCAAGAAAACGAGGGCUCAGGUCAACGUUAAUGGAUUAUCAUUGACGGUGCCAUAUCAUUAGCUAAUAAGCUACUGGAUAGUAGGGUAAGUCUUUAUUUUUUUGUAAUUUCCGUUUUCUUGUUCUUUCUAUCAAAUCUCUUUCCUUUUCAUGAAAUUCUUUGUUAUUAGCUUCACCCACGCUUUGCACAGGCAAGGACUAGGUAUAUACUAGGAAUAUGUAAAAUGCAUCAUUGGAAGGUACAUUUUAAAUUUUCAUGUGUCAUUUGAUUAUUUUAUUGAUCUUAUUUAUAAUGAUUAUUUAAAGAAAGAGAAUUAUAAUAUUUGUUAUCAGGAGAA